rnacentral:rRNA from 1 species
UGGGGAAUAUUGCACAAUGGGGGAAACCCUGAUGCAGCGACGCCGCGUGAAGGAAGAAGUAUCUCGGUAUGUAAACUUCUAUCAGCAGGGAAGAUAGUGACGGUACCUGACUAAGAAGCCACGGCUAACUACGUGCC